rnacentral:rRNA from 1 species
AUUGAACGCUGGCGGCAUGCCUUACACAUGUAAGUCGAACGGUAACAGGUCUUCGGAUGCUGACGAGUGGCGAACGGGUGAGUAAUACAUCGGAACGUGCCUAGUAGUGGGGGAUAACUACUCGAAAGAGUGGCUAAUACCGCAUGAGAUCUACGGAUGAAAGCAGGGGAUCGCAAGACCUUGUGCUACUAGAGCGGCCGAUGGCAGAUUAGGUAGUUGGUGGGAUAAAAGCUUACCAAGCCGACGAUCUGUAGCUGGUCUGAGAGGACGAUCAGCCACACUGGGACUGAGACACGGCCCAGACUUCUACGGGAGGCAGCAGUGGGGAAUUUUGGACAAUGGGCGCAAGCCUGAUCCAGCAAUGCCGCGUGCAGGAUGAAGGCCUUCGGGUUGUAAACUGCUUUUGUACGGAACGAAAAGCCCUGGGUUAAUACCCUGGGGUCAUGACGGUACCGUAAGAAUAAGCACCGGCUAACUACGUGCCAGCCGCCGCCGUAA